UGGUGGGUAGUUUGACUGGGGCGGUCUCCUCCUAAAGAGUAACGGAGGAGCACGAAGGUUGGCUAAUCCUGGUCGGACAUCAGGAGGUUAGUGCAAUGGCAUAAGCCAGCUUGACUGCGAGCGUGACGGCGCGAGCAGGUGCGAAAGCAGGUCAUAGUGAUCCGGUGGUUCUGAAUGGAAGGGCCAUCGCUCAACGGAUAAAAGGUACUCCGGGGAUAACAGGCUGAUACCGCCCAAGAGUUCAUAUCGACGGCGGUGUUUGGCACCUCGAUGUCGGCUCAUCACAUCCUGGGGCUGAAGUAGGUCCCAAGGGUAUGGCUGUUCGCCAUUUAAAGUGGUACGCGAGCUGGGUUUAGAACGUCGUGAGACAGUUCGGUCCCUAUCUGCCGUGGGCGCUGGAGAACUGAGGGGGGCUGCUCCUAGUACGAGAGGACCGGAGUGGACGCAUCACUGGUGUUCGGGUUGUCAUGCCAAUGGCACUGCCCGGUAGCUAAAUGCGGAAGAGAUAAGUGCUGAAAGCAUCUAAGCACGAAACUUGCCCCGAGAUGAGUUCUCCCUGAGACUUAAAGUCUCCUGAAGGAACGUUGAAGACGACGACGUUGAUAGGCCGGGUGUGUAAGCGCAGCGAUGCG
rnacentral:rRNA from 1 species